GCCUGGAUGGCUGAGUUUUUUGGGCGUCUGACUUCGGUUCAGGUCAUGAUCUCACAGUUCAUGGGUUCGAGCCCCACUCCGGGCU
rnacentral:tRNA from 1 species